GACGAACGCUGGCGGCGUGCCUAAUACAUGCAAGUCGAACGCUUCUUUCCUCCCUUUGUCUUGCGCUCAAUUGGCAAGAGGGGUGGCGAACCGGUGGGUAACACGUCGGUAACCUACCCUUAAGUGAGGGAUAACAGUUGAAAACAGGAGCUAAUACCGCAUAACAUGUUAUGCCGCAUGGCAUUAGAGUGAAAGGCGCUUUCGGGGGGCGUUGAUGGCUGGACCCGCGGUGCGUUAGCUAGUUGGUGAGGUAACGGCUCACCGAGGCGACGAUGCAUCGGCGACGUGAGUGGGGGAUCGGCGACCCUAGGACGGAGACAGGGACCAGAGUACUACGGGAGGCAGCAGUAGGGAACGUUCGGCAAUGGACGAAAGUAUGACCGAGCAACGCCGCGUGAGUGAAGACGGUUUUCGGUGCGUAAAACCCUGUUGUUAGAUAAGAACAAGGAUGUCAGUAACUGAACGUCGCCUGACGGUAUCUAACCAGAAAGCCACGGCUAACUACGUG
rnacentral:rRNA from 1 species